GGAGAAACCGGCGCACGGGUGCGUAACGCGUAUGCAACCUACCUUUCACAGGGGGAUAGCCCGAAGAAAUUUGGAUUAAUACCCCAUAAUAUUAUUGGAUGGCAUCAUUUGAUAAUUAAAACUGCGGUGGUGAAAGAUGGGCAUGCGUCCUAUUAGCUAGUUGGAGUGGUAACGGCACCCCAAGGCUACGAUAGGUAGGGGUCCUGAGAGGGAGAUCCCCCACACUGGUACUGAGACAGGGACCAG
rnacentral:rRNA from 1 species